CACACUAUGAGUUCUCAUCCACUCCUGAUGCUGAUCUUAAUUGUUUUCCUUCCAUCUUUCUUGCUUCUCCUGUCUAUCAAAUAUGGAAAGCAGUCACUACAAGCAAAGAGGCUUCCUCCAGGUCCAAGGAGGCUCCCUCUUGUAGGAAACUUGCACCAGCUAAUGAAUCCAAUCCAUAGAUCACUGCAGCACCUAGCAAAAGAAUAUGGCCCUAUUAUGUUCUUGCAACUUGGAUCAAUACCCACUAUAAUAAUUUCCUCAGCUGAUAUGGUGAGAGAAAUCUUCAAAAAACAUGACCUUGUGUUUUCAGGCAGGCCAAUAUUAUACUCUGCCAAGAAAUUUAGUUAUAACUGUUCUGGCUUGUCCUCAGCCCCCUACGGUGAGAAAUGGAGGGAGAUGAGAAAAAUUGUAAUUGUAGAAUUGCUGAGUGCAAAGAGAGUCCAAUCCUUCCAGGCAGUACGGGAAGAAGAAGUGAGCCUGAUGCUUGAUUCUGUAGCUUGCUCUUCGGUUCCGAUUAAUCUAAGC
rnacentral:misc_RNA from 1 species